GACAGAGGGUGCAAACGUUGUUCGGAUUUACUGGGCGUAAAGGGCGCGUAGGCGGCUCAUGAAGGCUGUGGUGAAAGUCCGGGGCUCAACCUCGGAUCGGCCGUGGCGACUCGUGGGCUGGAGCACUGUAGAGGCGGGUGGAAUUCCGGGUGUAGCGGUGGAAUGCGUAGAGAUCCGGAAGAACACCAGUGGCGAAGGCGGCCCGCUGGGCAGUGGCUGACGCUGAGGCGCGACAGCGUGGGGAGCAAACAGG
rnacentral:rRNA from 1 species